UACGUAGGUGGCAAGCGUUGUCCGGAAUUAUUGGGCGUAAAGCGCGCGCAGGCGGUCCUUUAAGUCUGAUGUGAAAGCCCACGGCUCAACCGUGGAGGGUCAUUGGAAACUGGGGGACUUGAGUACAGAAGAGAAGAGUGGAAUUCCACGUGUAGCGGUGAAAUGCGUAGAGAUGUGGAGGAACACCGGUGGCGAAGGCGGCAUCCUGGACCGGCAUUGACGCUGAGGCGCGAAAGCCAGGGGAGCAAACGGG
rnacentral:rRNA from 1 species